UACGGGGGGAGCAAGCGUUGUUCGGAUUUACUGGGCGUAAAGGGCGCGUAGGCGGUCAGCACAAGUCAGUUGUGAAAUCUCCGGGCUUAACUCGGAAAGGUCAACUGAUACUGUGCGACUAGAGUGCAGAAGGGCAACUGGAAUUCUCGGUGUAGCGGUGAAAUGCGUAGAUAUCGAGAGGAACACCUGCGGCGAAGGCGGGUUGCUGGGCUGACACUGACGCUGAUGCGCGAAAGCCAGGGGAGCGAACGGG
rnacentral:rRNA from 1 species